GUUGGUGCUUCAUCGAAGAGGGUACACCUGUUCUCAUUCCGAACACAGAAGUUAAGCUCUUCUGAGGCGAUGGUAGUCGUAAGGCGAGAGUAGCUCGGCGCCAACA
rnacentral:rRNA from 1 species